UACGGAGGGGGCUAGCGUUGUUCGGAAUUACUGGGCGUAAAGCGCACGUAGGCGGCUUCGUAAGUUAGAGGUGAAAGCCCGGGGCUCAACUCCGGAAUUGCCUUUAAGACUGCAUCGCUAGAAUUGUGGAGAGGUAAGUGGAAUUCCCAGUGUAGAGGUGAAAUUCGUAGAGAUUGGGAAGAACACCGGUGGCGAAGGCGGCCAACUGGACUGGUAUUGACGCUGAGGCGCGAAAGCGUGGGGAGCAAACAGG
rnacentral:rRNA from 1 species